rnacentral:lncRNA from 1 species
GUCUUGGCUGAACGGUGUAAAAAAAAUCUAACAGCAAAGUGACAAUAUUUUUUUCCUUAUUUUUCUCGAAAAGGGGAGGAGUCCCCGAGUGACAAUCAAACUUGAAAUGAUAUAACCAAGUUUAACAUAAUUUGAUAGAACUUAUCAUUAUUUUAUCAAGGGCAAUUAUUGGUCGUUCUUUGCGGCAAACAGGGGCGCUGCCGGAUAAAUCAUGUUUAGAUAGUUUGAUGUUAUAGCUCCUGCAGUAUUCUUUUCUCUUUUUUUUUGCUUUUCUUCUUAGUUCUUUUCCUUUUUUAUAUUUUAAAUACAUUUUCCACUUUCUCACAAGGACGGACAUGAUUCUUUUUAUGAUAUACUUGGAUAUUAUUUUUUCUGAAGAACAUAUACAUUUUUCUCGCGGUUGAACAAAAAUGCUCAUUUAUAUUUCACAAGUUAAAAAAAUGGAAAAUAAAAUAAAUAAAUCACGACAGGCCUUAUUGGACCAGCCCGCCGUGUGCAAUUGUAUUCCUACUUGCCGCCGGAUGCCGCAAAUUGAGAGACACGGAGUUUGGGCCUGGGUAUCUCUGCGGCUGUUAUCCUGGCAGUGGCCAGCGAGCAAGGCCACAAAGUCGGGGCAGGUGGGCCGGGCGAGGUUGUGUAAAGAAAUCAAUAUAAAUGCGGAAAACAUGGACGUCUUAUGGCCCAGUAUAUGGUAGAAGCUUGGUUGUUUGAUGGACCGGUUUAGGUGAUGUUAGGUGGGCCAUAUGAGCUCAUCGAUUUUGGCUCAUGUCGGGUAGAGUUGCUGGGCCAGUUAGGAUUGACAUGUGCCAUUUCUUUUGAAUUGGCCCAAGUUCUGGGUAGUUGAGGUAGAAAUAAAAAUUAAAUGGCCCAUGUGACCGAUCUAAAUUCUGUUGGCCAAACUGGCGACGGUGCCCCCCUAAAAAAAAAAAACUGGCGACAUGCCAGAUUCACCGGAGAUGAGCACAAGUAUCCUGAACUGUCGUCGAAGUAUGAAAUGUAUCUAGACGUUUUUAGAAAAUAGAUACAUCUAUAUUUAGACAAAAUUGAGACAAGAAUUUAAUAUUGGAAGGAGUACGUGUUCUUCAUCGCUGCGGGCGGGAAUCCGAUUGGCUCUCUUGGCAUGGACUGAUGCCAAUGACUCACAUUUGAUUGGCAGGGUUCGUGUUGAGAAUGCUCUUCAUGAGAGGGAAGCUAAUGCAAACAAGCCUUGCGCCCUGGAAUUAUCGAUUGGUUCACGUGUGAAACUCGAUCGUGUCAUGGAGGGAUGCGUAGGUGGUGGUCACUAUGUAUAUCCUGUUAGCUAAGCAUCGGGUGGUUACGUGCUAAAUGAAUAUAUAGGUUACACGGGCAAUUAGGCCACGUCCAACAUGCCGUUUCACAUGGGCGCUAGGGAAACAAUUCCCGGCCGUCAGGUUCAAAUCCCAGCUGAUUCCAGGAAUUCUCUUUUGGAACAAAGGAUUCCUACAGGAUUUCUACAAAGAAAGGAAUUUCACAGGAAAAAAUAAAUCAUUUGGACCGUUUGAAAGUUGGGACAAAGGAAAGGAAAGUUUCCAUUCCUGUAAAACACUGUAGCAACACCAUGAUUUCACCUGAAAGAAAACAUCCAUCCAGAUCUCAUUUUUUUGCAUACACGAAGCUCUCUGCUGCUACUUCCUAUGAAACUGAUGGUAUGGGAAACAAAAUCGUGGAUGCGGCGGUGUGCCCAACCGAUGAUGGAUGGCUGUGCUCGUGGUUACAUAACUAAUCAAUGCGACCAUAUCCUGAUUAUAAUUUUGGUUCAUGCGUUCCAAAUGAUUUUUCUAUUCAAAUCCUAUGUUUUCAAUUCUCAUGGAAUUUCAUGCAUGUCAUGUGAAUUUCUAUAUUUUUUUUAUUUCUAUGUUUUUGGUAUCCCGCCUUCCAAACGGGUCCUUAGUGUCGCCUAAAAGAAUUUGCAUCAGGCGUUCCACCAUUUUUUCCGUUGAGAACAACCCAAGCCUUUCUCAAGCGUCUCAAAUAAGCGCUCUGCAUUGAAGAGCUCGACGCUUAUCUUUUUCUUUAAAAUAAUUUAUUUAUUUUCUGCUGCUCAAGCACCUAUGGAAGAGUCCAGCUUUGGACAUGCCCUUAACAUCCAUGGCACUUUUUUUUUUGUUCGGGGAAACAUCCAUGGCAGUUAACUAUAUUCUCAAAUUUUUGCUGGAUUUUACCUCUAAAUCUAACGUAUCAUCAAUAAUCAAAAUCGCUCUGGACGGCAACCAAAUACUACUCGCAUAACGCAUGUUCGCGUUGUUUUGCCACGUGGAUUAACCGGAGGAAGCUUCCAAAGGGGGAAGAAAAAUGAAAAAAAGAAGAAUUCAAAAAGGGAAAGAGGGGAAAUUGCAGAUCGCUAUGGCAACCCGGGGGCCGCCGCCGUCGUCGUCAUCAUCCGGAUCCGCGACCGUGACGAUCGACCGCUCCACCUCCUCCUCCUCCGCCCCCGCGGCCGCGCAGCCGCCGCCGCCGGAGACGGUGCUGCUGCGGCUGAAGCGGCGGGCCAAGAAGAAGGUGUCGUGGAAGGAGGGUACCGUGGACAACGAGUCCCUUGGCCGCAAGAGCUCCAAGAAGUGCUGCAUCUUCCACAAGGAGGUUCCCUUCGACGAGGACUGCAGCGACGACGACGACGACGACGCGGACCGGAAUCCGCCGGCCGACGGCGGGGGCGGCUGUUCCUCUUCCUCCCAUGGCCAUGGCCACAGCCAUAGAGACCACCACCACUCAGAUCCGGUUCGAUAAGGUACGGGUCAGAGAUCCUUGCUUGCUCGUCAGUUUCUUGUUCUGGAUUGUAGAAAUUUCAGUUUUGUUUGGUUUACCAUUACAAUUUAGGGGCGAUACUUCGUAGCUGCGUAUAGAAUUCUUUAGGGGGAUAGUGUUAGCCUUUGUUUAUCAGCACUGUAUCUUGUGUCUGUACAUUCCAUAUUUCCAUUUAUAUGUUUCCUAAGGAUCGUUUCUUGUAAAUCUGAACCUGAAUAUUACUGUCUGAGCAAUACUCCUAUGUAAAACUAUGCUAGAACUUGGAUGCUACAAGAAGGGCAGUAUCUGAGAAUUUAGAGGUCCUGUGUGAAAUAUCAUACUCCGUAUCAAUUUAUAGACUAAAAAGCACAUGAAAUUUGAAAAAUUAUAAAGAGAUUGCCAAAUUUUGUGGGUGCAACUUCACCCACACCCUAUAACGUGAAUCCCCCACUCGUUACAAGGGAGAGGACUCUCUGCCAAGUCCUUCUUUCUCCAUGUCCACCGCAGCGCCACGAUCGGCACUGUGUUCGGGUUGACAUGAAGCCGUGACGGCCACUGCUAUGGGAUUCUGCGAGCUCUUCAGCUCCCUCCACUUCCUCCUGCUGCUGAGCCCCAUGUCAAACGAGCUCUUCACCUCCCUCCACUUCCUCGAUCUUAAACUGAUGGUGCCGAGCAAAGUCCCGCUGGAAGCUCGCCAAGGUGCAGGGCGCGUGAGUCCAGAGGUGGCUUGAGUAGAUUGAAACAGAUAGAUGGCUGACAUGAAGUAAAGCCAAUGAUAAAAAAUAGGGCAUGGCCAGGAAAACUCAAAUAGUAUCGAGAAUAAAUAGGCAGGCCAUUGAGAAUAACAAGGCGGAUUUUCCCCUGUUGACAGAGUGAGAAUCGGAGGAAGUCAGUUUCGUUGGAAGUUUGAAUUCUUAUGAUUGAUGUGUAAUAUAGAUAGAGGAAUAUCAGAAUCCAGGUUUCAGACGGCGGUCUUGAUUGAUGAACGGCCGCUUAAGUAGCUCCAUCUCAUCAUGCAUGUAUAUAUGGCCAUUAGCUCCUGACCUGCUGCAACAUAGGAGUGCAAUUACGAUGCAUGGCUGGGUAUCACGAUGCACAGCCACACAGGGAAAACUACGGUGGCGUCAGUUUGGACCUGGAGCCGGCCAUAGGCUAGCCAGGGACGGCGGUAACAUUGGAGGCAGAGGUGGGGGCAACAACGGCUGUGAGGGGCGCCUGACUGAGAUCGUUGGGGGUUUGGGAGGAAGCCGCAGGAGGUGUGUUAGUUUGGAAUCUGGAUAUGGGCUGGAUACCUGGGCCCUCUAAGUUUACUACUCUGCCCUUAAUGUAAGUAUUGACAGAUGCUUUGGUAUUCGUGCUAAAAAAGUUUAGGAGCAUAGAAGCACUUCCCUUGAAAGAGAUGUUCCUGGUCACACUCGAUCCUAACAAGCUCUUGAAAUGAUCCAACAGAAUUUGCGCUUUAGAUUGCUGAUCACAAAACUUCGACGCACUGCCCCUGCAACAUAGGAAUAUGGUUUGUUUUUGUCUCUGGCCGUUGGCCGUGAGGUGGAAUAGCUUUGUGUUGGCAUCCCCUUCUUUUAUCCAAGUGAUCCGGGACAUUUGCCUCCACCGAAUCCUGUCUGCCGCAGCCAAACCAAGCAAUUUGGUCUUCAUCAUUUUCCAAAGCUCCCUCUUUUCGGGGCUGAGUUCUCUAUCUUCUUGGGCCAGAUCUAAUUGGGAAAAGUUCCUUUUCUCUCACACAAUGCCAUAUUCACUGCAACAGUCAAUAUGUCAGUAAAAUUAUAUACAGUAAGUUUGCAUUAGUGAAAGAAUUCAUGUUUUCUAAUAUCUUUAUAGAAAAGAGGUAUUCUAGUAUUUCCAGAAGGCAUGGAAAAACACCAUGCCGAUGGAUAAUAAAUAGGUAAAUACAAAAUAAAAAAUGUGUUUAAAACUCAAGAAUACUGAAUAUGCAUGAGGAUAAAAUGAACAACUUAACAAAUUAACAUUUAACAACUUUAAACAUCAGAGAUUAGUGCUUAUUAAUAGUAAUUAGGAAAAUACGGGGGGCCAUAUUUUGGGGGCCCCUGUACCAUUGAUCACCCUGCGCCUGUUUGCGAUACAAUCCUGGUUGCAAGUUUCAACUUCCAAUGUCAUGUGGGGGUGUGCGAUCUUCCUCUAAUCUCCCAAUUUCCCGAGCACUUGACAGCCAACAUCUUCUCGCUGUGACUUCUAAUAUGAAAUGGUGUGCAGUUAGGUGUCUACAAGUUGCAACAGUUUUCUUCAGUGUAACUUUGUAAAUACAGGAAUCAACAUUAUGCAGAUGGGUAUAUAGCAUAUGACCUUUUGAAAUUCUACAUCACCUUAAUUUUUUUCUUAUGAUGGGAUCGCAGUAGAUCAUUUGUACGUAUGCUUACGGACACGAUAUUGCUAUUAGAUAACUUAACAGCAUACACACACGAAGGAAAAGAAGUUGAACCUUUCUUGCCUGAUUAAAUGAACUUGUGUACUCCUUAAGAAUUGGAAGCUCUUUUUGCCAUAAGUGUACAUUACUUGGACCAUUCUUGCCUGAUUAAGUGACACCUCUUGAAAUAAUGGUGAAAAUGAUCGUCUAGAAAAUUAAUUUUGAUUUUUUAAAUCUUGGUGCAUGAUCUAUUUGAAUAUACGUGAGUAGCUUUCAUGGACCUUUUAUCUGUGAACAAGGACAGUUUAUCUACUGGACCAGCAAGGUCAAAGAUAUCAUCAACAUAGAUGAAUGAAAUCUCUUUAGUGACCUCCGAUUUAUACUUGGAGAAUGCUAAGCCGUGUUCGAGGGCAGCAACGGCCCACAUAUACCAUUUACGAGCCUGGUCUCGAGCAAAUGGCAAUUCUUCUGCUAGUCCGAGGUCCCUCCAUAACCUGAAAUUUUAAUAUAUUUUCAAAUUUAUUCUUAUUAACUAAUUCUUUAUUCUUUAUUACACAUGUGUGAGAUGAUUGUGUGUGGUAUGCUGUACGUGUUAGUAGAUUAGAACCUAUAUUGUGUUUCUGUUCAUAGACAAGUCUGCUGUAUUCUUGCCUGACGGAAUAAUUUUGGUACCACCUUUUCUGUUUAGAAGUAUACUACUCCCUCUGUCCAACAAAAGAUGUCUCAAGUUUGUCAAAAUUUGGAUGUAUAGAUGCAUUCAAAUUUAGUCAGAGUUGAGACAUCCUUUGUUGGACGGAGGAAGUAGUUUUAGAUCUUUUCAUGUUUUUGGUGAAAAUAUUCAAUAUGUUUAUGUUCAUGUGUUCUUAAUGCUAUCCUGUUAUCUGAUUGCACUAUUUUUGUUAAUUGAUAUGUGGGUACAUAUUUUUUAUCUGAUUGCACUAUUUUUGUUAACAACUCUUUUGUUGAAACAAGAAGACCGUGACAUACAUGACUUAAGCAUGAUCGAAGAGGGAGUGUGGAUUAUUUUUGUUGCAUUUGCAAGAUAAAAAAAAGUAAUCUGUACAUGUAGAUUAUUAAACGAUAUGCACACAUGGAAGAUUUUGUGGAAAAAUAUGGCCCUCUGUGUUCUCUACAAAAAAAAAACAGGGAUGAAGGUCUAACAUAUAGUAGCUAUAAGGUUACACAGUUUUUUCUUCUGUACUUCACAUGGACAUAAUUUUUCAGAACAGUUGGCAAGCACACACAAUAUUGCAGUCUACAUUCACAGUUCUCUUUUUUAUGAAACUUUUUCUUUACUUUUGAGCAAAUGAACCCAGCAGUGAAAGGUUAUUUCCCAUAACCUCUAGUUUUGUUUGGUAUAAGAAACUGAGAAGCAAUCAUGCAAGACACGUCAUGGAUUAGGUUCAUGACAUGAGUGAUAAUAGCUCUAGGGCCUGUACGGGGUAACCCUGGAUCCAAGAGGUGCGGCAGCUCCAUGAAGGUAGCCGCACCUCAAGGGCAGGGAGGAAGUGGAAGGGAUAACUGACUGAUUUAUUCUUGACUGUCUCGUAACAGUUACAGGUGGCCCUUUUAUAGGGAAGACUCAACUUGACACCUAAGAAACUAAUCUCUACUUCCUAACAAACCAUAUCGAUCUCAAUAUUCCUGUCUAAUCUCUUGCCUUACUAAUUUAGAAGUUGCUAAUGGGAUAUCGUCCAUUAUUUGGAUACCUAGCGCUGCGCCCCCUAUAGGGAUGUAUGCCUGUGACAGAUAGGUUCUUUACAUUAUAUAUUGCAUUAGUUCAACUUGAUGCUGUAUUCUGAUAUGAUCAUACUUGUCUAGGACAAGCUCUUCCAUCAUGUCGUAGCAUCAUACCUCCCAAACAUCUUUUAGACACACCAGAGGUGGUGCAUCACUUUGUAUUUCUGUAAACUGAGAUGAUAUGGGUGGUUCAAGGCUUCUCUGACAGAAUUUACUAGACUCGGUUCCAAUUAUUUCAAAGAUGACUUUAGUUGCUUGCUUGAAUCAUAAGGUUUGUGGAGUAUCCCCUCUCCCAUGUUAAGACUUGAUGUGUUGUGCAUGCUCAGUAGUCCUUGAUAUCACUAUUAACACACAUGCUGAAUUCUCUAUUUGAAGUUUUUGUUGCUAUGUUUUUGUUCCGCUAUGGUUUGAAGUGAAGGAAUAUUAACCGCUAGCUUCUUUCAUGGUUUUCUGCAGAAAAGGAUUUUUAUGUUAUUUUUGCACUUGCAGGUAAAAUAUUUGGCGAGUAGUAAUGAUCAAGGGGCAUAUCGUAUCCACCUUCUGGGAGCAAAUGUGAAGGACAUAGGAGCAUCAAACAUGCUAAAACUCAUGCCCUGAAAAAUCUUGUGGCUAUUAUAGAUGAUCUCAAAAGCAUGUCAAUCUUCUUAGGAAAAUUGUACGCAGUCUGAUGCAGAGGCUUUGAUGGAAUCUACUGUGAUCAUUGUUUGCAUCAUGUGGUUUUCUUUGGUGAGCAUCUUCCUCAAGUUUAAUCUUUGGUGCUUAAUAGGUUCCAAUUGAAUGGCCAUAGAAUUUUGCGAUCUACUUUGAGUUUCUUCGGUUUGUUGCUGCAAGGUUCGAAAGAUGCGUUUGCAAUUACAUAUUACAAAAGGACAACUUUGGUCCUCAUGAGUUUUAUGUGAGUUGUACUGUAAAGAAAAUACAAAUUGUUUCAUGUGAAUUUCCUGUCAAUCUGCAAGCAUGCUGUUACUUAAAAAUGGGUUUUGUUAGCUAGUAGUAUAGAUUAUCACUAGACAAGCAAGCCUAGACAGAAUGGACCUUUUCUUUUUGAGGUAAAACUAGUUUAUAUAAGAGUUCAGUUUGUUCCACCUUUAGAGAAACCGCCCAUGCUGCCAUUUGCCAUAUAGAUUAGGAAUGAAGCAUCAUUCCGAUUGGAGGAAGAAGGAAGCAGCAUAAUUUGGGCCUUAUGAAGCGGAAGGUGCUUUCGAAGUUCUGAGCAUUAUUGGGCUUCGUUGGCUGGGCUGAGUGUUUAACAAUCUGAGGAUUAACUCGAGUGAUAGUAGGCUUUGGUGUCUGGACAAUAAAGUCUCUUGGGAGGUGGGUUUUGUCUUUUUAUUUACUAUAUAUAUGUAGGCGAGUGAAAACUGGAUUUCAUUGACAACCUGCAAACUCGCGACAUGGUCCGUCAGAUCGAAAACGGAUGGUCUAGAUCAAAGGUGCGAUUUCUAGUCAACCAUUUACCGCACUUUGCACAUAACCACCUGUUGUCUUAAUAAUUAAUUAGCUAACGAAUUAGCCUCACUCCUAUCCCAUUAGUAUCCCCAACCCCCAAGCGACGGCGACCGCUGCGUUGCCCCGGUGCGACAGCGACUUGGCAGCUGCUGUGCUUCACCGGUGUGACGGCGAAUCGGCUGCCCCGGCGCUUCCCCCUGGUGAGGGCGAAUCCGCAGCUGCCGCGUGUGACGGCUCGACGGCAUCUGGAGGCCACGGUGUUGCCGGCAACGGCAAAUCGGCGGCCUCGACGCUACGCCCACGUAACGCUUCUUGCCAGCCACUGCCCUACCCAAGCGCGACGGUGUUUGCAGGCCAUGGCGCUGCCGCAAUGGUGAUUCGGCGUCUGGGCACGGCCCCCCCUCGAUGGCUUCAAAGGAGUCCCCAACUAAAGCUUGAUACUGUUUCUGAAGUUAGGCAAUCUGUGAUGCGUUUAAGUGACGCGUUUAUGGUUGUUGUACCAGUUCUGAAGCCAUGAAAAUUGCGUGUAUGCUCAAGCAUUGUAUCUGACAUUGAGUGUGUUUAAGAAUUUAGGACCAAGUUUGAAAUAGAAACCUGGAAUGCAUUGUGUGUUCUCAUCUGUAUUCUCUGAUCUUAACCUGAAAUAUUACUCUAUUGAAAUGGCAUUCUGGCAGCAGUUAGAUAUGAAAUCCAUGAGAUUUGAGAUUGUUUAAGGCAACAGAAACAAUGGAAUUUUGCCAUCAAUCAGAUAGAGUAUUUUCUAUCUGGUUGCAGAAAUUUGCCAAGUUGAGCAAUUUCAACAUUCCAAACAUAAGGAGCUACGAUGAACUCCAAACACAAGGACUUAUUGGUUGCAAACAUGUUUGUCCAGCUGGCAUUGUCAUAGUCUAUUAUGUUUCAGAAAUGUAUUCGUUUUGUCACAAAAGAAAACCUUGUCAUAAUCUAAUAUGUUUUGAUUCUAUGAAACUUCCGCGCAUACACAUUCAAAAGGGCGAUCCAAAAGAGCAAAGAUUUCUUGGAUAUGACAAGGUUUCUCUGUACAUGAGAAUUCUGUACGUUCACAGUCAAAAUUGAGAAUUCUGUACAUUCACAGUCAAAAUGAAAUUUAUGUACAUUCACAUUCAAAAUGAGAUUUCUGUACAUUCACAUUCAAAAGCCUGUUUCGGGUUCACCUUCUGUACAUAUCUCAUUUCGUAAACUUCUGUACAUCUCUCAUUUCGCAAAUUUCGGUACUAUCUCAUUCCACAAAUUUCUGUUUCACAUUAAACAGAGCAAAGCUUUCAUGUACAUUCACAUUGAUUCGGGUACAGCAAAAUCAAGCAUUUAUCUGUACAUCCAGCGUAACAACAGCCAUUGGUAUCAAAAAAAAUUUCUGUACAGCAAACAGCUUCGGGCUUCAGCUAAAGAGCAGACACCAGCUUCAGCAAACAGCAAGUGGCAAUUCGAUUCAGAAAACAGCAGGUGGCAAUUUGAUUCAGCAAACAGCAGGUGCCAAUUCGAUUCAGCAAACAGCAGGUGCCAAUUCGACGUGUAUCAAGGUACACGUCCAUAGCCCGAGAUGUGUAUCAAGUUGUAACAUGAGUUUUUUUUUUAGUCUGAAGAGUUGUGCCUUUGGCAAUAAUAGUCUUGUGAUCAUGUGUGCGUCUGUUUUUCUAUGUGAUCGAUCCUCGGCCCCAAGCUAACAGGCCUUCUAUAACCCAAUUUCGGUACCGAUGGGCCUGAGCACACUCAGCGAGGGAAAAAUGUCGGACCGUCACCGAAUCGUGCCAUCUGUGACGUAGUAUGGUGCAGUCUAUCCUUCUCGCGUUUGAGGCUGAUUCAGACAAGAGGUGAAGUAGCCACCCUGUUUUAAAAUGAAAUUCUACAAAGCAAAUUUACACAAGAUGCUAUGAAUAAAUAAAAGGGUUUAUGGUUUAAUUAGCAUCUCGAUAACGGUCGUGUUAUGUGAGGACCAAUGAGAGUGACUUGCUCUUAACAAAAUUGAACGCUAGAAUGUGGUAAACAUUUUGUUUGAGUGUACGUAGUCUGGAAUUUGGAGGUAACAAAUAUUUCAGUACCCACCGCAUAAUUUUCGAAAAAUGCUAGAGAUGCUAUGAAGAAAUGAAAUUGAGACAGAAAAUGCUAGACCGUUCUUCAUAGCCUCUCUAGCAUUUUGUUAAGUUCUAUCGAUCGCGUGCUAGUAAUUAUAUAUACAGACAAGAUUUAUAUUUCACUUAAUUAACAUGGUUUGUGCUUUGUGUAGAUAUUUCUUGGAUAAGAUAAUUUUGCGUCCAUGGCUGCUACGUCAACAACAUUUUCCUAAGUUCGAUGUGGUUCAGAGUGCCAGAUAUGCUGCAUCGAGCUUCUCACGGUUGCCACCGGCGAGUGCAGAGAAAUAUGACAUCUUUUUGCCCCAAGGGACUUGCGUAUGUUUUUUUUCUUUAAAGAUUGUCUAGUAAGGGUUGGUUGAUUUAAUAAUGGUCUUGGCUUUCUCGCAAAAAAUAAGAUGUUCUAGCAACCAUUUGGAGAUGGUCUCACCGGAGUUGUACGUUCAAGUGAUUUGGAUAGCAAUAGAAUAUGUAAUGCAUGAGUUGUACCUGAUUUUAUUUCCUCUGUUGCUGUACUCUUUCAUGACUUUUGAAUCUGUAAUUUGAAAACAUUAAUAAUAUGAUAGACGUGUGCGAUCAAUCGAUGCAGAUGACGGGUGUUACGACCUCUUUUCAGAGAGGAAAGUUGUUCUAAUUUUGUCAUGAGUCAAACUUAUAGAAAAUUGUUUUAUCUAAGUUUGAUCAAAUUUAUAGAAUAAAUUAUCAACAUGCAUGCAUCUACAACUCUAAUUUAGUUUUAUUAAAUCCGUCAUGAUAUAUAUCUUCGUACUAUAUAUAUGCUUAUUUUAUAGAAAUUAGUAUAUUUUUCUACAAAACUGUGGUCAGACUUUUAAAAAGUUGGCUAGCAACAAAACUAAAACUUCUUAUAAAAGGGAAUGAAGGGAGUACGUUCCAUGCCCUCGGAGAAUGCAUGUAAAGUCACUGGCAUAUCCCGCGCGUUAUUCAAACCCCGAGAACGGCUUGGAUGGAAAUGACUAAUUUCUUGCUUUAAAAUAGGGGGCCCUUUGUGUCCAUAUUGGAUUCUAAAAUCAAAGUCAGUUUUGGUACAUUCGUGUGAUCCAGUUUGAGCAACAGAACGCAUGGAAUCACACCCAAAAUUGCACACCUUUUUGUUCAAGUUCAAAUUUCAGGACAUGCAAUUCACUCAACUUUGAAACAACUAAACUAAUGAAACUGAUAUUAGAUGAUUCAUCUAAAUUCCUAAUGUGGAAUUCUUCUCCUCCUCUCUUGCAUAUGAUGCAAAGGACUUUCUGGACAUGCAUAAUCAACCAGGUGCAAGAUCAGAUUUCAUGGAAGAGUAAAAUGCACCCGCAGUCACUGUACUUGAUGCGUAUUCUCAAUUUAGUCACUGUAUUUUGGAAAUCAAAACGUACGGUCACUGAACUUGACGAAAUACCUCAUAUACGGUCACCGGUACGGUAUCCGUACGUCCCACGUGAGAGCUGGACGCGAUAAUUUUGCAAUUAGGUCCUUCUAGCGUGUGAGCCCACCAAUCUCCCUGCCUUGACAAAUUUCCCCACCCUGAGUCUGGUGGCCCACGUCUCCGCACUGGCCGCAACGAUCAAGAGGUUGUUUGAGUUGGCCGGCACAACGUCUCCAGUCUCCGUGCAUGGAUGUGGAGUGGGAGCGCGUCCUCCUUGCGCUGACAGAAGACAUCGCGGCAGCGCGGGUGGCAUGAGCUCGCACUCGCAACAACGCGCCUCUGACAGUGGAGCUGCAGACUCAAGCAACUCCGCUCGGGCGUACCUGACUCCCAAGAUUGAGGAGAUGGUGGAGAUGCCGCGUGACAGUAGAAAGCGCACCAAUGGAAGGCACAUCGAAACAGAUCAAGCAAGAUCUCACUGAAAUUUCUGAGCCAGCGGAUGGAAAACUCCAAGUUGAUUAAAUUGAUUAGGGCUGGCGAUGUGGCCGGAGGCUGUAACGGUGGACGCCGAACUCACCGCAAGCUGGCCGCCGGCGAGCCGAGGGCUCGGGCCGAAGUGACGAGGAGCUGUUUUUGCCGGCUCGGUGAGCUUGCGCGCAGCUCGUCAGCAGGCAAGGCGGGGAGAAGAAGGCGUCGUGGUGCGCCUGCAUCUCCGUCGGCGCCUGCUCGUCGACUGGGACCAUCGCCGUCGGACUGAGUCAGCGCGUACAGGAGCAGAAGCGGCGACAGCAGGGAGCAACAACUGCGUCGAGCAGCGGCGGCGAACAACAGCUGCUUUGAGUUGGCCCUGCACCUGAAUCUCCUUCCCUGCUUGACAGCAUACACUGCAGCAGCAGCAGCAGCAGCAAGCAACAACAACAGCUCUGUCCGGAUAUUGGAAGGAGCAGCAGCAGCUCAACGGCAGGCAAAAGAGCAAACGACACCGUGUCCUUGUCCUUGGAGGGGCUAGCGAAUGGGGAGGGUGGGGGAGCAGAAUCGGGAGAGGAAUGGCAUUAGGGAUUUGAAAAACAGGUGUGAGGAAUUUUGGUAUGGCAGGGGGAUUGGUGGGGCCCACGCGCCAAAAGGGCUGAAUUGCAAAAUCGUCGCGCCAGCUGUCACGUGAGGCGUACAAAUACCGUACCGGUGACUGUAUGUGAGAUAUUUCGUCAUGUUUAGUGACCGUAGCUUUUGAUUUCCAAAAUAUAGCGAUUAAAUUGAGAAUACGCAUCAAGUACAAUGACUGCAGGUGCAUACUAUGAUUGCAAGGAAAUUUGCAAGAUAUAGCAAGCAAAGCCUGAAACAGCUCAAGUAUCUCUGUUUUCUAGCAGCAUUAGAGCACAUGUUACAUGAUCAAAGUCAGUCCAAAGCUACAUAUAUAGACCCUAUGAAAACCGCAUUUGAGCCGCGCUUUUCCUUUGAAUCAACAUCUGAAAGGUUUCAUGCUAACCUAAUGAAACCACAUAAACUCUGCCCAAAUUAGAAAACAAGCAAUGAUCAGAGACAGUGCUUUGAAAGCUAGACAAUGCAACAGAGCAUUAACAAUUUCCGUAGAAAUUACGUUUGCCCAAUCAAAUUAAUAGUGGCACUGCUCGUAUAGGAAAAUCAGAUCUGACAAUUUUACUUAUUUACACAUGAAUUCUGUUAUAUCAUAUGUCGGUACUCCUAGCCUGUUGAUCUUUUUUUGCAGGAAAAGAGAGAACUACUAACCAGAAAUACUAUGAUAUGUUGCGACUCACCCCCUUUGCAUGGACAGGAAUUUGCAUAGAGAUCUCCAAUAUGCGGGAUUCAGACCUUACUAAAAUGUGUCAUGUAGAAUUCUGGACCUACUCUUUUGCAUAUGCAAAGGAUUUGCAGUGCACAAUAACCACAAAUUAGACCACACAAGAGAGCUCUAGUGAUAAUUUGAAUAUGUAGACAUGCAAGACCAGAUUUCAUGGAAUAUGCGCUGAAGAUAAUUUUCAAGAUAGCAAGCAAAGCAUUAAAUAUCUCAAGUAUCUCUGUUAUGUUUCCUACCGGCAUCAGAACACACAUGUAAUAGUCGUAAAGAGAGGAUCAACGUCUCAAAGUUGUCAUACUUGAAAUCAAAAGCUCUAGGGGCCUCCAAGGAAAAUCAGAUCGCUUCCAAGUUCAGUGACCUCCUGAUUUCCAAUCCAAGAGCAGGAUGCCUCACAAAAAGAUCCUUUAUAGAAAAAUCAGACCCGCUUUCGGAGUUCAGCCAAAACAUGUCGUCUCCUUCUUUAACUGCACUCUCGACGGGUACCAGUGAACAGUCUUGAUUGGCCCAUUUUCUAGCAAACAGAGGUUUCAGUUUUUUGUUUGCCUUGGCCUUUGAAGUGAAACUUCCCUUGCUGAACACAAUAACCAGCUUCGUCAGCAUCCACGCACUCUCCAGGAUGUACUGAAGGAACGAAAGCUCGUUGGGUGCCCCUCGGAAGCCACAGAAGAUCAUCACUUCCAUGUGUGACUGCACACAUUUGACGGCACCACCUUCUUGCCAGAAAUUGACGCUGAGCUUGCAAGUUGGCUCAACGGUUUUAUGAUCCGACUGUAAAAUGGUUAAAUCAGUUGAAACUUCAGUUCUAUAUAUAUAUGCAAGAGUGCAAAGCUGGAAAUUUAUGCGAACUUAAAGUGAGGCAGGUGUCACCUCCAGAUGCAGCCUCUUGACGUUUGGAAAGCAUCUCAGGAAGCUUGACAGCGUCUUAGCAUUGUUGUGGACUCCAAAGUACAGUCUUAAAGCGAGGAUGUUUACACUUGGGACCAUGGUGUUCCGACUCGCCCUUGUCCCAUCCUGCAGUGGCACCCAAUUUUGUGAGACAAUCACAUUCACUGACAUAUCACAUUACCGAAUCUACUACACACUAAAAGUAUAUGACUCGGUUAACCAGAAAAAUAUAGACUGCAAGAAAACCGAAAAAAAAAACUAACAUCUGAUCAUUCAUAUGGUGGGGCAGUUUUUACUUAGAAGUCGUGACCCAUGAACCUUCAUUACUGUACCUAAUUGUGGACCUUUUUUAAAUAAUGGAAUAACAGCUGAUGUUUUUUUUAAAUCACCUGACUGCAACCAUCGAUCAACAUAUAUUACAUCUUAAAAUUUGCAAGGUACAUAGAAACCAUAGGGACUAUGUACCCUUUCUUUUGUGUAACUGAUAGAAAACAUCGAUCAAUUGUGACCAUAUAUACCAUGGAUAUAUAUAUAUAUGCUAUAUAGAGAUCAACCACGAUGAGUGGUCAUUGAGGGCAAUAUAUUUUUCUCUAUAUCCCGUCAUCCAAUAUGAGCACGUAAAUAUACUUAUUAAUGUAAAACAAAAGUUGUCAAUGGUAGUUUUCUCUUUGGUAACAAAAGUAAUGGUGUAUUAAUAAUUCACACUAUGCUAAGAAGAUCGCCUACCACAAAUAAGAUUACUCGGCCGGAUUUAAGACAACCACAGCCCAAUCUAAGUUGGAAUUUGAUUGCUUCUGUGUUGCAGGAAACCUGGAAUUUUAAAAUACUAUAGUACACUACAUACUACUCCCUCCGUUCCAUAAUUCUUGUCGAAAUAUUACAUGUAUCUAGACGUUUUUUAGGAAUAGAUACAUCUAUUUUUAGACAAAUUUGAGACAAGAAUUAUGGAACAGAGGUAGUACCAUUUACUGGUACCAUACGUACUUGCAAAGCUAGAAAAUUAACCGGUCAGGAAUCCGGUGAUCCUUUAUUAUUAUUGUAAUAGUAAUUUAUGGCACUUUCUAUAUAAACAACACCAGACCAGUUUGUCGGACCUUCAUUAUUAAUAAACACAACCGGUCGUUUUUUACAUGUGUACAUGUACAUUAGCCAGGAACAAAUUUGGUGGACUCAAUUAUUAAAUGACCCACAAUUGACAAGCAUCUAGAAGGAACAUCAUGAUCUAGCUCACAGUCCAUACCUAUCUGGUGAGGACAAUAAAGCAUUAAUAGUGAUAAUAGCUCGAAUUAACAUGCCAAUUUGAUUUAGCCACUACUAACAGUCGGCACGUAUAAUAUUUUCACUCCUCUUAUUUUUUUUCAUAUGACAUUGCGUGAUAUGAAAUAUCUUAAUUUGUGAACUAUUUCAAAAUAGCUUCUGCAUAUUAAAAGCAGCACCGUAAUAUCAUUGAUAGGUGAUCUAGACCUUAACUCCACGUGCAGAUCCAAUAGCAACAUAUAUAAAAAUUGAUUUAGUUUUAGAAGAUCUUUAUCUUUACACUUAUAAAGAUCUGAGUUGGUGGUCCCGAGUUCACUCCCAACAAGACUACUACCUCUUAAUGGCUACGGACUCAUCUAAUUGCCACUCAUUUUAUACGUAUCACGAUUUUUUAACUAUUCUUGAUUGGUUUUCAUGACUUUCUAGACAAUUUUUUUUCAAAAAUAAUAUUUUGAGAUAAUUCUUAUUUAUCAGAAAUUUUAAAAAACAUGAGCCCAAAUUCUUAAUCUCGUAGCAAAGCAUGGACAUUUAGCUAGUAAAAUAUAAAAAGACACAUGACAUAUUAAAUGAAAAUAUGGUGUUAAUUAGCAAAUGUAGUAUAAAAUGUCAAAGGUGGAAACCAUAGGGAUUAUGUAGCCUUUCUUUUGCUGUGGUGUGACCGAGAGAAACCAUCGAUCAAUUGUGACCAUAUAUACCAUGGAUGUAUAUCUGCUAGAUAUAGAUGAACCACGUCAAGUGGUCAUUGAGGGCAAAUGUUCUUUUGGUAUAUCCCAUCCUUCAAUAUGAUUGCAUAAAUAUACUUAUUAAUGUCAAAGACAAAGUUGUCAUGUGGUAAUUUUUCUCUUUGCUAAUAAAAGUAAACGGUGUAUUUAUUCACAUUGUACUAUGAUAAGAAGAUCACCUACCACAAAUCAGAUUGCUCAGAUUUAAGACAACCACAUCGAUCGCCUAUCACAAAGAUUACUCAGAUUUAAGACAACCACACAUCGAUCGCCUACCACAAAUCUCAGAUUACUCAGAUUUAAGACAUGCAACCACAUCGAUCGCCUACCACAAAUCAGAUCACUCAGAUUUAAGACAACCACAUCCGAACCUAAGAUGGGUUCUGAUUGUUUCCGUGUCGUGGGAAACCUGGAUUUAAUUGGAAACUACUACAAUACAAUUUCUACAUACUACCAAUUACCAUUCGCUAGAAAAUUAACCGGUCAGGAAUCUGGUGAUACUUUAUUAUUAUUGGACUAGUAAUUUAUGGCACUUUCUAUAUAAACAACACCCAACCAAUUUUUGCCAGACCUUCAUUAUUAAUAAAGGCAACCGGUCCUUUUUUACAAGUGUGCAUGUACAUUAGCCAGGAACCAAUUUAGUGGACUCAACUAUAUAUUAGUGACGCGACCCACAAUUCACAAGCAUGCAUCUAUUGGAAACAUCAUCUAGCUCACAGUACAUAGUUUACAACGAACCUAUAUAUUUGCGAGGAUUUAACAUUACAGUGAUAAUAGAUUGAAUUAACAUCCCAAUUAAUUUUAUUUAGCUAAUACUAAUUAACAGUCGGCAAGUAUAAUAUAUAUUUUCACUACUCUUAUUUAAUUCCAAUGACAUUGCGUGAUAGGAAACAUCAUCUAGCUCACAGGACAUAGUUUACAACGAACCUAUCUGCGAGGACAAUUUAACAUUACAGUGAUAAUAGAUUGAAUUAACAUCCCAAUUUGAUUUAGCUACGUACUACUAAUUAACAGUCGGCAAGUAUAAUAUAUAUUUUCACUACUCUUAUUUAAUUCCAAUGACAUUGCGUGAUAGGAAACAUCAUCUAGCUCACAGGACAUAGUUUACAACGAACCUAUCUGCGAGGACAAUUUAACAUUACAGUGAUAAUAGAUUGAAUUAACAUCCCAAUUUGAUUUAGCUACGUACUACUAAUUAACAGUCGGCAAGUAUAAUAUAUAUUUUCACUACUCUUAUUUAAUUCCAAUGACAUUGCGUGAUAGGAAACAUCAUCUAGCUCACAGGACAUAGUUUACAACGAACCUAUCUGCGAGGACAAUUUAACAUUACAGUGAUAAUAGAUUGAAUUAACAUCCCAAUUUGAUUUAGCUACGUACUACUAAUUAACAGUCGGCAAGUAUAAUAUUUUCACUCCUCUUAAUUUUUUCCAAUGACAUUUUGCGUGAUAUGAAAUAUCUGUGUGAGAUAUUUCAAAAUAGCUUCAGCACAUUAAAAGCACCGUGAUAUCAUUGAUAGGUGAUCUAAACCUUAACUCCACGUGCAGAUCCAAUAGCGACAUAAAAGUUGAUUUAGUUCUAGCUAGAAGAUAAAAGGUAAAAAUACACAUGACAUAUUAAAUGAAAACACCGCGUUAAUUAGCAAAUAUAGUAUAAUACAUAAGAAAUACAUAUUAAGACCAGUAAACAAACUUUGUACGAAAUACAUAUGUGCUCACCUUGAUGACGGUGUUGCCGACCUCCAACGUGUGCAAUGCUGGCUCCAGAUAGCCAAGCACGGGGGCACAGCCAACCUUAAUUACCUUCCUCUGGAAGGCGUUAUCGACCAACGACGACCAUAUGAUGAGCCUCUCCAGCCUCGGAGCGUCUUCCAUGAGCACAUCCAGCUCGGUGCCCCCGACGAGUUGCAGGCACCGAAGGCUGCGGCUGACGAUCCUGAGGCGCGUCAGCCAGAUGUUCAUCUGGAUGCAAAGGGUCUUGAGCACCGGGGUCCUGGCCAGGACGAAGUCCAUGUCCCGGUUGUCCAUGUAGACGCACAAGAGGCCCAGCUCUUCCAGGUGCGGGAACUCUAUGGCACCCGGGAGCGCCGCCGUGUCGGGGAAGGUGAAGGCGCCGAGGUAGAGCCGGGUCAGCGUCGCGAUGCCGAAGAAGCCCGCGGGGAGCAUCAUGUUGAGCGGCCAUGGCCGGUUCACGAGGAACAGCUCCUGGACGCCGUUGAUGGCGAGCAGAUGCAGCCACCGCGCGAGCAGGCCGGGGAUUAGGUGCUUCAUGUAGCAGGACACGAUGUGGGCGCACCGGAUUGGGCCCUGGUGGGCCUCGAGGAUGCGCGUCACGGCGUCGGCGGCGGCCAUGGACUCGGCCGGGGAAACCUCGAGCAUGCUGCGGCAGGGGCGCCUGGCGGGGAGCAGGUCGGAGUGGGCGAGGACCAGCGGCGCGGCGCGCCAGACCCCGCGCCAGCGGCGGGAGAGCGCGGCGGUGCGCGCGCCGUCCUUGAUUGGGAGAAGAGAGACGACGCGCCUGAGGAAGGAGUCGGGCAGGGUUGAGAUGCGGUCGACGGCUUGGGGUUGUUGUGGUUGGGGCGGCGGAGGAAGAGCGGCGCCGGGGCUGGAGACGAAGGACGGAGGGCUGGGGAGGACGUGGUAGUAGAGGCAGGUCAAGGCGCGGAUGAGGUUGAGCUGGAGCCUCCGGAGGUCCACGCCGUGGUUCCCGUAGUAGGCCUGCGUCUCGGUGUCCAUGGGGAAGGUCUCGUGCGAGUGGGAGUCGGAGGAGGAGCCGCUGUUGUUGUUGUCCAUGGCGAUCGAUGGGGAGCCGGAAUGAAGGAGAGGAGGAAGACGGCUAGGGUUUCGGGUUCCUGCGGACAAGAAUGAUGAUUGCUUUGCCCUGGGUUUGGGGAUUCGGGCCCAUGUUUUCCGGGGGUUGCUGGAAGCCGGCCCAUUAUUUGUCAGAAACCUUUUUAAUUAUUCUCUUAUUCGCUUUCGAUCAUCUCCUCUGGCCGGCGUGCAGAACAACGUUCCCAUCGUUGUCUGAAGCACAAGCGCAUAAUGACGUGCAGUGCACUGGGGAUAUAUCGAUAUCACAUGCUUAAUUGCCUUGCACCUCCUUGCCUGG